CACAGUUGAACGAGGAAGUCCACCUCUCAAAGACAGACGUCUGUUUGUUAUCUAUGAGGAAAAAAACACAUCUCACUACAAAUGAAAAUAUGAACAGGCCUCUUUAUGAUAUUGAAUGCUAGAGAGAACGAGCAGAGGAGAUAAGAUGAGAGAUUGAAUCACUGCCUUUGUUAGUGGCUUUGUGUGGCUCUGAUCUACAUCUUCCAUCAGCGCUCUUUCCAAUGAAAAGACAAGAAUUGGAUGUAAAAAGGGGAUGUAAAUAUUGGAAAUAUCGCAGUCAUCACUGUCUUCCAUACUCUACUUGGAGCUCUGACUAACAGAUGGCAGAAUAUUGACGUCCUGGUGUCGCGUAUUGCAGCCACGACACAGGCCAAUGCGGACCACAGGUAUGUCAACUCAAUUUACACCUAAUCUGGUUUGUGCUAAAAAUAAAAAUGGUCAAACAGAUUUAGGUUUUGGGGAUUUUUAUUUUGCGUCAUUGCUGUAAGUUGACGUGAUCCCUCCUUGAGAUCCAAUGACCAUAAAGUUGUUUUAUUUGGGGUUUGAAACAUCUGUCUCUGCCAAAAGAAACAUGAUUUAUUAUCAAUCACAGGUUGGUGGCACCUCAUUGGGGAAAACAGGCUCGUGGUAAUGACUGGACCGGAAUCAGUGGAGUGGUAUGAAAUACAUCAAACACAUGGUUUCCAUGGUUUCCAGGUGUUUGAUGCCAUUCCAUUGUCUCCGUUCCGGCCAUUAUUAUGAGCAGUUCUCCCCUUAGCAGCCUCCACUGUGUCAUGACGUUGGCCUCUUUGAGUACAGGGAGGACAGUUGACCCCAUCCCCCCCUUUGCACCAUCCCCCAACCUACCUCCCCCACCCAGUCCCUGUGUGAAGGAGUGGUAAAAUUCCAGGAGAGUCUCUGGCCACAUGGCCCAUAGAGAGACACAGGAAAUUCUUCCAACUCACAGAAUUGGGGAGCCAAGCGACAUUUGUGUUCUGGAGAAGGUAUGGAAGAUUGGUGAAAAAUCCAGCUACGAACUGGUCCACUUGGUACAAUUUUGUGAUACUCAGAAGAGACAAUAUAGCCAUAUUACCAUAAAACUGUUUAUAUAAUAGCCUCAGCUUGAGACUUGCAUCCACAUGGUUGUAUAGAAUGUAUUAAUAAGGAUAAAGCUAUUUGUAAUACAUUGAGAUGCUAUGUACUGAUGUUAAUGUGAUAAAAUUGUAUUUUUGUACCAAGCUUAACUCAGUCAUCGGCACGCCCCCAGGGACACAGACAGGACCAGGCGUCAUUUGACAAGCCUGUUCUAUGUCUCAGCCUCCAGUAUUUAUGCUGCAGUAGUUUAUGUGUCGGGGGGCUAGG
rnacentral:lncRNA from 1 species